GGGGGACAUGAUGGUGGCUCAGAUUACAGGGGCUACUCAGCAAGAAGCGGAAGGACUUCAGAGAGAUUUGGAGGCAAAACCCACAGGCUUACUGAUGAAUGGAACCGGUGGAGGUGUGUGAUGCGAUACUCAAAGGCAACCUGGUCAGGUGCACGAAGUCUAGGGUUCAGAAUCCAACAGGCUCAAAUUCAAGUCCAGCUCAGCCACGUGGCUGAGUGCUGUCUGAACCUCAGCGUCCUCAGCUGUUAAACAGAGUGUCUCUCGAGAAUGAAAAUGACCAGGCCAUCCUCACAUUCUACAGAGGUUAACCCAGCAACUUAGGGACACAGCUGGGGCAGGACUCCCGGGCUCCUGGUCAGUCCCUCUAUGGGGAUGCUAAGCCUCAGGGCUGACAUCUCUUAGCUCUGCCUUCCAGGGAGAAUUUCACAGGGCCUCCCAUUUGUGCUGCUGUGAAGGCCGUCCUGCUCCUUGUCAAGCCUGUCUUCUCCGUGGCUUGAGGAAGAUCUCUUUCGUGCCCAAAUUGUGAAUAAGUAAACUGGAUGCAGCAUCUCUGAUUGCUCU
rnacentral:lncRNA from 1 species